rnacentral:lncRNA from 1 species
UAAAUCUUUAAAGUAUAAUUUUUUUAUAUAUAUAUCUUAUUUCCAUGUUACAACAUAACAACUAUAUAUCUAUUAUCUAAUAUGACUAAAAUAGAAAUAUAUGAAAUAAAAGAUGGAUAUUUAUAGAUUCUAAUAGGUGUAACCAAUAUGCAAUUGAAUUGAUCUAUUUACAAAUAAGAAAUGAUCUAAGUCUAUAAUCAUUAAAUUUAUUACUAGGACAAAUAGUCUUGAUAUUACAAUGGAGUAAUCAUAGCUGAUUGCCUGCAUAAAAUCAAA